UAGGAAUUGCAACAAGAAAGAAACGAAAGAGGGGGAAAAUUUGGGCCUGCGUGCAAAAUCAAGGAAAAAUUGAGGGUUUACACAUCAUGCUAAAAAAAGAACUCCCUCAUUUCCCUCAUUCGGCUUCCUCCCUAUCUCUCUCAACGAAGCUCCUACACUUUCCUUCUCUUUGGUGAAACUCUCCAGCCUACACUAUCGUUUUCUUUGGCGCAUAGAUCUGGCAGUGGUGGUGGCUCCCUCUUCGUUGACGGUUGAACGACCGAAGAUCUGGUGGCUCCCUCUUCGACGACGACGACUUGAGACGUUGGGUUGCUGUCCGUUUCGUCUGUUCGCUCAUAAGGUGAAAAUGGGAGGACUUGAAAUUUUGCUUGCUUCUUACCAAGAUUUGGAGUCUAAUUUAUUAGGUACAUCAUAUAAUUGUUCUCAAAACUUCAUUAGUUGUACUUGUGUAUUUAUGGUUGGCUUAUUUGCAUUUGCUAAGCAUCUAGAUUCCCUGCCUGCAGGCUUUUGAUUUAAUCGGUGUGUUGCUUAAGCUGUUCCUUUUUCCAAAAUUCUGAUAGAAUGGUUUGAAGAAAAUUUUCAUUGAAUGUUGUUUUGUUGGUGGUUUCUUACAAAAUAGUUGUUGAAAUUUUAAAGCUUACGGCUUGAUAUGAUAAAAGUUAUACUUGUAGAGAAGCCAAGAGGUAUACUUAUUAUUUCCAUCAAGCCUAAUUUUGCCUCACUAUUCAAGAUAGAUGGCUUCUUCCCAUAUGUUUUUCAGAGUCACGAGCUUAUUUUUACUACAUAACGUUAUAAUCAUUUAUCUAACGAGACAUUAACUAAAGGUUGUAAAUGGGCUAUUGUCUUGGAAAAAUAUGUGUGUAUCAUGUAUGUAUACGAGUUUCAAUUUUUCUCCUCCAUACAUAGUUUGGAGCUCCAUAAUUUAUACUCUGAAGCAUUGGUUUGUGAGGUUUGGGUUGUAACUACAAUUUAUUCUUAGUCUUACUCUUUGAAACGCUUUAAUGAUAAGAUUAAGAAUCCUUGAUAUUUUUA